CUCCACUAUUGUCCUAUGACCCUGCCAAAUCCCCCUCUGCGAGAAACACCCAAGAAUGAUCAAUAAAAAAAUAAAUAAAUAAAUAAAUAAAUAAAUAAAUAAAUAAAUAAAAAGAAUAAAAGCUUAGCCUGGUUGCGGUGGCUCAUACCUGUAAUCCCAGAACUUUGGGAGGCCAAGGUAGGUGGAUUACUUGAGGCCAGGAACUAUUUGCCAGGAACUAGUGAACAACAACAAAAAUCCCUACCCUCAUGAAUUUCUGCACUGUAGUGGAGGAAACUGGUAAUAAACUAAUUGAAAAUAGAUUAGAAAGUGAUAACAUUGUGGAGAAAAACAAAGCAGAGUAAAGUAGAGUAGAAACGUGGGAAUGGCGUAGAGGGAUGGUUAUUACUUGAUAUAGUGUGAUCAAGAAAGGCUCUAUUCAUAAAGCAAGUUUUGAGCACAGACCUCAAAGAAAAGACAGCAGCAAGUACAAACUUGUUUUUGCAGGUAAGUACUUGGCAUGUUUAAGGACAACAGGUUUGGCAAGGCUGUACCGGGACUAGCAAGGGAAGAGUAGCAAAUGAGACUUGGAAAGGUAAUGAGGCUGUCGGGGGCUUUGUAGACAGUUGUAAAGACUCUGGCUUGCUUUUUUUUCUUGAAACCAAGUCUCACUCUGUCUCCAGGCUGGAGGGCAGUGGCAUGAUCUCAGCUCACUGUAACCUCUGCCUCUCAGGUUCAAGCAAUUCUCCUACCUCAGCCUCCUGAGUAGCUGGGAUUAUAGGCACACACCACCAUGCCCAGCUAAUUUUUUUUUUUUUUUUGUAUUUUUAGUAGAGAAGGUGUUUCACCAUGUUGGCCAUGAUGGUCUCAAUCUCUUGACAUCGUGAGAUCAAGGUCACAAGGCCCACCUCCCAAAGUGCUGGGAUUACAGGCAGGAGCCACCGGGCCCGGCCGACCCUGGCUUUUACUGAGUGGGAUGAAAAGACACUGAAAAGUUUCAAGCAGGAGAGUGUAACGAUCUGACUUCCAUCAUAAAAGGAACAUUUGGGCUGCUCACAUGAGAACAGACUAAGAGGCAAGUGGGACAAACAGCAGCACUCACCCCUACAGGCACCUUCCAGGAGUGUUUGGCCAGUGCCCCUACCAGCUUCCCUGUGAGUUUCAGCAGCACCUGCAAGAAGAGCUUCCCACAGAAUUCUGCUGGUGCCUCAGCCAGCAUCCCAGCUAGAGCAGCACCAGAUAAGUUCCACUGGCACCCCAGCAGGCUUCCCAGUGAGUUCAACGGCUCCUCAAGUGGCUUCCCAGUACAUUCUACUGACACUCCAGGCAGUUUCGCAGGGAGUUUCGUCAGCUCCACAGUGGACACUUUCCUCUUUGCCAGCCCCAGACUGUGGGGCCAUCGAGUGAGCUACUGCCAUACCCUACCCAGUAAGGUCUGAAUCUCAGCCUUCGCGAUGGGGUUAGGGUUUCUUUAAAAAUUUGUGUCUUCUUUGGGUACUCUGCCUCAGCACUAGGAAUAGCAGCUGCUUCCUGUAUCUGCUAUUACUGCAUGCUUUAAAAAAAAAAUUUUUUUACAAUCUCUCAUUUUAUUAUUAUAAUUUUUCUAAAUUUCUUUUUUGUUUUUUUUUUUGAAACAGAAUCUCAUGGUCACCCAGGCUGUAGUGCAGUGGCGCACUCUUUGGCUCACUGCAACCUCCGCCUCCCCGGUUCAAGUGAUUCUCCCACUUCAGACUCCUGAGUAGCUGGGACUAUAGGUGUGCGCCACCACACCUGGCUAAUUUUUGUAUUUUUAGUAGAGAAAGGGUUUCACCAUGUUGGCCAGGCUGGUCUGGAACUCCUGACCCCAAGUGACCCACCCGCCUUGACCUCCCAAAGUGCUGGGAUUACAGGCGUGAACCACCACACCUGACCUAUGAUAGAUUUUAAACAAAGUGACUGAUCAUUCCUACUAUAUAAAGUUUAUCUUACAGCAGUGUGUAUACAUACAUAUCUAAGGCUGUGUAUAUGUAUAUGUAUGUGUAUGUAAUCCAAAAUGAAACAAGCUCCAUAUACCAAAGCAUGCAGCUACUGACAUAAAGAAAAUGUCAAAUUCCUGCAACUAUCACUGUGUUCUUGGGCAUGUCGCUUAAAUUCUACAGGUCUUCAUUUUUCAUCUGAAAUAUGACAGAGUAGAUUAUAUGAUCACAUUCCUUCCAGCUCUAUGAUUCUGUUUAUCUGAUUGUGAAUUCUCAAAUACCAAAUAUUUCCAGAUUUUUAUCAAGAAUGUCAUAGGUAUUUAUUUCAUUUAUG
rnacentral:lncRNA from 10 species